UGGGGCAUCUUCGACAAUGGGGGAAACCCUGAUCUAGCCAUGCCGCGUGAGUGACGAAGGCCCUAGGGUCGUAAAGCUCUUUCGCCAGGGAAGAUAAUGACUGUACCUGGUAAAGAAACCCCGGCUAACUCCGUGCCAGCAGCCGCGGUAAUACGGAGGGAGCUAGCGUUGUUCGGAAUUACUGGGCGUAAAGCGCGCGUAGGCGGCUUUUCAAGUCAGGGGUGAAAUCCCGGGGCUCAACCCCGGAACUGCCCUAGAAACUGGGAAGCUAGAAUCCUGGAGAGGCGAGUGGAAUUCCGAGUGUAGAGGUGAAAUUCGUAGAUAUUCGGAAGAACACCAGUGGCGAAGGCGACUCGCUGGACAGGUAUUGACG
rnacentral:rRNA from 1 species